rnacentral:pre_miRNA from 1 species
AAAUGAAUCCCCUGGGGAAUCUUGCUAAAAACAAGACUCUGAUUUAGUAGGUGCGCGGUUUUGGAGUCUCAGAUUCUUCAUUUCUAACAACAUUGUAAGUGAUGUAAAA